UGAUAAAUCACCUUCAGUUCAGUAUGUUCAAAUGGGUGUCUUCCUCUAGAUGUCUUGACAUUGCUUGUGACAUCCCCCAGGGGUCAGUGUUGGGCCCCAAAUUAUUUAAUAUAUAUAUAUUAAUGAUGUUUUUAGUGUUUCUAAACUGGUAAAAUGAAGAUUGUUUGCAGAUGACACCAACAUAUUCUACAGCAAUGACAGUUUUGAACAACUCAUAAAUACAGUGAACAAUGAACUAAGAAAAAUUAAAAGAUGGAUGGAAAGUAACAAAUUGUCUUUAAAUUUAAAUAAAACAAAAACAAUGGUGUUUGGAAAUUAUAAAUUAAACCAACAUAUAAUGGUUGAGAUAGAUGGAGUCCAAAUUGAAAAUUGAAAACAUUUUUAGGCUUAACAGACCAUAAGUUAAGUUGGAAAGCACACAUCAGACAUAUAUCAACCAAAGUCUCCAAAAGCCUUGCAAUAAUUAAUAAAGUUAAACAUAUUUUUGAUCACAAUGUACUACAUAUUUUGUAUUGUUCUCUCAUUCUUCCAUACCUGACCUACUGUGUAGAAGUAUGGGGCAAUAAUUAUAAACAAUCAAUUAAAUCACUAUUCUUACU